CUACGGGGCGCUCCAGUGAGGAAUAUUGCACAAUGGGGGGAACCCUGAUGCAGCAACGCCGCGUGGAGGAUGACGCAUUUCGGUGUGUAAACUCCUUUUAUAUGUCAAGAAAAUGACGGUAGCAUAUGAAUAAGCACCGGCUAACUCCGUGCCAGCAGCCGCGGUAAUACGGAGGGUGCAAGCGUUACUCGGAAUCACUGGGCGUAAAGGACGCGUAGGCGGGUUGGAAAGUCAGGUGUGAAAUCCUACAGCUUAACUGUAGAACUGCACUUGAAACUUCUAAUCUAGAGUAUGGGAGGGGAGAUGGAAUUAGUGGUGUAGGGGUAAAAUCCGUAGAUAUCACUAGGAAUACCGAAAGCGAAGGCGAUCUCCUGGAACAUUACUGACGCUAAGGCGUGAAAGCGUGGGGAGCAAACAGGAUUAGAUACCCCCGUAGUC
rnacentral:rRNA from 1 species